rnacentral:rRNA from 1 species
AUGAACGCUAGCGACAGGCUUAACACAUGCAAGUCGAGGGGCAGCACAGGUAGCAAUACCGGGUGGCGACCGGCGCACGGGUGAGUAACGCGUAUGCAACUUACCUAUCAGAGGGGGAUAACCCGGCGAAAGUCGGACUAAUACCGCAUGAAGCAGGGGUCCCGCAUGGGGAUAUUUGCUAAAGAUUCAUCGCUGAUAGAUAGGCAUGCGUUCCAUUAGGCAGUUGGCGGGGUAACGGCCCACCAAACCGACGAUGGAUAGGGGUUCUGAGAGGAAGGUCCCCCACAUUGGUACUGAGACACGGACCAAACUCCUACGGGAGGCAGCAGUGAGGAAUAUUGGUCAAUGGGCGUAAGCCUGAACCAGCCAAGUCGCGUGAGGGAUGAAGGUUCUAUGGAUCGUAAACCUCUUUUAUAAGGGAAUAAAGUGCGGGACGUGUCCCGUUUUGUAUGUACCUUAUGAAUAAGGAUCGGCUAACUCCGUGCCAGCAGCCGCGGUAAUACGGAGGAUUCGAGCGUUAUCCGGAUUUAUUGGGUUUAAAGGGUGCGUAGGCGGCCUUUUAAGUCAGCGGUGAAAGUCUGUGGCUCAACCAUAGAAUUGCCGUUGAAACUGGGGGGCUUGAGUAUGUUUGAGGCAGGCGGAAUGCGUGGUGUAGCGGUGAAAUGCUUAGAUAUCACGCAGAACCCCGAUUGCGAAGGCAGCCUGCCAAGCCAUGACUGACGCUGAUGCACGAAAGCGUGGGGAUCAAACAGGAUUAGAUACCCUGGUAGUCCACGCAGUAAACGAUGAUCACUAGCUGUUUGCGAUACAGUGUAAGCGGCACAGCGAAAGCGUUAAGUGAUCCACCUGGGGAGUACGCCGGCAACGGUGAAACUCAAAGGAAUUGACGGGGGCCCGCACAAGCGGAGGAACAUGUGGUUUAAUUCGAUGAUACGCGAGGAACCUUACCCGGGUUUGAACGCAUUCGGACCGAGGUGGAAACACCUUUUCUAGCAAUAGCCGUUUGCGAGGUGCUGCAUGGUUGUCGUCAGCUCGUGCCGUGAGGUGUCGGCUUAAGUGCCAUAACGAGCGCAACCCUUGCCACUAGUUACUAACAGGUGAUGCUGAGGACUCUGGUGGGACUGCCAGCGUAAGCUGCGAGGAAGGCGGGGAUGACGUCAAAUCAGCACGGCCCUUACAUCCGGGGCGACACACGUGUUACAAUGGCGUGGACAAAGGGAAGCCACCUGGCGACAGGGAGCGAAUCCCCAAACCACGUCUCAGUUCGGAUCGGAGUCUGCAACCCGACUCCGUGAAGCUGGAUUCGCUAGUAAUCGCGCAUCAGCCAUGGCGCGGUGAAUACGUUCCCGGGCCUUGUACACACCGCCCGUCAAGCCAUGGGAGCCGGGGGUACCUGAAGUCCGUAACCGCGAGGAUCGGCCUAGGGUAAAACUGGUGACUGGGGCU